GGCUCAGGUACAGGGGUAAUUCUCCUGUGCACACAGUCAUUAUUUAGGCCGACUCAGUGACUUCAACAGGCUUAAUCAUGUGAUCAGGUUUGUUGCCAGCUGCAUAAUGCUCCCACAUCUGUAGAUAGAGCUGCUCUAGGUCUAUUGUGUAUUGUUUGGUGUUGAACAGAGGGCUAGAUGUUCUCUGCUUCCAGACUUUGCCACGAAUUUUCUUCAGGUAUUCUAGAUCAGUUCCCAGUUUCACAGCUAUGUCUUCAUAUUCUUGUCUAUUUUUAGCAAUAAGCUCAAGACAGCCUAAACAAGUGAGCUGGGAAGCUGCAACUCGGGAAGCAAGAGUCUCUCCUGGCAUAGUCACCAUGGGUGUCCCUGACCAAAGGACAUCCAUCCCUGUGGUGUGUCCAUUACAGAGUGGAGUGUCCAAGCAGACAUCAGCCAGCUGGCCUCUCCGAACAUGUUCCCCUUUAGGAGCAACAGGACAUUUCAUCUUGACAAUUUGCACAUCUGGGAGACUAUCAAGAAAUGCUUUGAGGUCGAUGCCAUUCAGCACAAUCCGAUUGUCAUAAAUGUGCCCAUUGGACUUAAAAUCGAUGACUGCUUUCUUCUUCAGCUGCAUGCAGUGUCUCUCAGCUGCCUCAAAAUCUCCUGCCUGAUAUUCUUGAUGUGCCAACUCAGCUAACCCUUGGAAGGAAAGCAUACGUUUCAUUGGUUCUGUGCUGUCGGCCACGUUGCCCACAGAAGACGCCAUCUGGAGCUUCUGGAGAGAGUGAGAAAAGGGGGUAAUUGAGUCCCGCUGCCGCCACUACUGGCAAGAAUGUUUCUAGAGGAAUAACUUCCAGUACUCUUACUGACUACUCUACUGACUUAACUAGCACAAGACACAGAAGCAUAAGGACAAAAACCACCUUACAAUAUUGCCAUGUCUUGCACUUCACAGCUCUCAAAGCAUGUGCGUUUGAAGAAGAUAAAAAGAACUGAAAAGUACAAAACCAGAAGCUAUUCUGUGGAAAAUUAUUUCAAUCAUCAGGCAUGUGAAAGAUAAGUCAAAGAUUCAGUUCUCAUCAAUGCUUAGUCAAAACGGAAAUUUUCUUCUGUCAAGAAUAUACUCCAGGGGCUUCCCUGAUGGCGCAGUGGUUAAGAAGCCACCUGCCAAUGCAGGGGACAAGGGUUUGAGCCCUGGUCCAGGAAGAUCCCACAUGCCACGGAGCAACUAAGCCGGUGUGCCACAACUACGGAACCUGUGCUCUAGAGCCCGUGAGCCACGACUACUGAGCCUGCGAGCCACAACUACUGAAGCCUGCGUGCCUAGCACCCGUGCUCUGCAACAAGAGAAGCCACCGCAAUGAGAAGCCUGUGCACCGCAACGAAGAGUAGCCCCCACUCCCUGCAAGUAGAGAAAGCCUGCGCACAGCAACGAAGACCCAACACAGCCAUAAAUAAAUAAAUAAAUAAAUAAAUAAAUAAAUAAAUAAAAGAAUAUACUCCAUCAACAAUG